rnacentral:rRNA from 1 species
UACCAGACUCCUACGGGAGGCAGCAGUGGGGAAUAUUGCACAAUGGGGGAAACCCUGAUGCAGCGACGCCGCGUGAGCGAUGAAGUAUUUCGGUAUGUAAAGCUCUAUCAGCAGGGAAGAAGAUGACGGUACCUGACUAAGAAGCCCCGGCUAACUACGUGCCAGCAGCCGCGGUAAUACGUAGGGGGCAAGCGUUAUCCGGAUUUACUGGGUGUAAAGGGAGCGUAGACGGCGAUGCAAGCCAGAUGUGAAAGCCCGGGGCUCAACCCCGGGACUGCAUUUGGAACUGUGUGGCUGGAGUGUCGGAGAGGCAGGCGGAAUUCCUAGUGUAGCGGUGAAAUACGUAGAUAUUAGGAGGAACACCAGUGGCGAAGGCGGCCUGCUGGACGAUGACUGACGUUGAGGCUCGAAAGCGUGGGGAGCAAACAGGAUUAGAUACCCGCGUAU